rnacentral:rRNA from 1 species
AUUGAACGCUGGCGGCAUGCCUUACACAUGCAAGUCGAACGGCAGCACGGGGGCAACCCUGGUGGCGAGUGGCGAACGGGUGAGUAACACAUCGGAACGUGCCCAGUAGUGGGGGAUAGCUCGGCGAAAGCCGGAUUAAUACCGCAUACGACCUACGGGUGAAAGCGGGGGAUCGCAAGACCUCGCGCUAUCGGAGCGGCCGAUGUCAGAUUAGGUUGUUGGUGGGGUAAAGGCCACCAAGCCGACGAUCUGUAGCUGGUCUGAGAGGACGACCAGCCACACUGGGACUGAGACACGGCCCAGACUCCUACGGGAGGCAGCAGUGGGGAAUCUUGCGCAAUGGGCGAAAAGCCUGACGCAGCCAUGCCGCGUGAAUGAUGAAGGCCUUAGGGUUGUAAAGUUCUUUUG